rnacentral:rRNA from 1 species
UGGGGAAUUUUGGACAAUGGGGGCAACCCUGAUCCAGCCAUGCCGCGUGAGUGAAGAAGGCCUUCGGGUUGUAAAGCUCUUUCGGCGGGAACGAAAAGGCCAUCACUAAUACUGGUGGUCGAUGACGGUACUCGCAGAAGAAGCACCGGCUAACUACGUGCCAGCAGCCGCGGUAAUACGUAGGGUGCGAGCGUUAAUCGGAAUUACUGGGCGUAAAGCGUGCGCAGGCGGCUUUUUAAGCCAGACGUGAAAUCCCCGGGCUUAACCUGGGAAUGGCGUUUGGGACUGGAAGGCUUGAGUGCGGCAGAGGGAGGUGGAAUUCCUGGUGUAGCAGUGAAAUGCGUAGAUAUCAGGAGGAACACCGAUGGCGAAGGCAGCCUCCUGGGCCAGCACUGACGCUCAAGCACGAAAGCGUGGGGAGCAAACAGGAUUAGAUACCCUGGUAGUCCACGCCCUAAACGAUGUCAACUGGUUGUUGGUGGGGUUAAACCCAUUAGUAACGAAGCUAACGCGUGAAGUUGACCGCCUGGGGAGUACGGCCGCAAGGUUG